GGCACGAUGGCAGAGUGGUUAUCGCGUAAGACUCGAAUCUUUCAAGACAUGGCAGGGCAACCUUCUCAUGUUCUCUGAUUCAGACAUCUUAUUCCUUCGGGAGCGCAGGUUCAAAUCCUGCUCGUGUCG